UACAGGGGGGGCAAGCGUUGUUCGGAAUUACUGGGCGUAAAGGGCUCGUAGGUGGCCAACUAAGUCAGACGUGAAAUCCCUCAGCUUAACUGGGGAACUGCGUCUGAUACUGGAUGGCUUGAGUUUGGGAGAGGGAUGCGGAAUUCCAGGUGUAGCGGUGAAAUGCGUAGAUAUCUGGAGGAACACCGAUGGCGAAGGCAGGUCUCUGGGCCAUAACUGACGCUGAGAAGCGAAAGCAUGGGGAGCGAACAGG
rnacentral:rRNA from 1 species